rnacentral:rRNA from 1 species
CCUACGGGAGGCAGCAGUGGGGAAUAUUGGGCAAUGGGCGCAAGCCUGACCCAGCAACGCCGCGUGAAGGAAGAAGGCUUUCGGGUUGUAAACUUCUGUUGUCAGGGAAGAGUAGAAGACGGUACCUGACUAAUAAUUCACGGUUAACUAAGUGCGAGCAGCCGCGGUAAUACGGAGGGGGCAAGCGUUGUCCGGAUUUACUGAGGGUAAAGGGCGUGUAGGCGGGUUGACAAGUCAGAUGUGAAAUCCUGCGGCUUAACCGAAGAACUGCAUUUGACACAGUUUAUCUUGAGUACUGGAGAGGUAGAUGGAAUUCCUGGUGUAGCGGUGAAAUGCGUAGAUAUUAGGAAGAACACCAGUGGCGAAGGCGGCUUGCUGGACAGCAACUGACGGUGAGGCGCGAAAGCGUGGGGAGCAAACAGGAUUAGAUACCCCAGUAGUC